rnacentral:rRNA from 1 species
GACGAACGCUGGCGGCGUGCCUAAUACAUGCAAGUUGAGCGCUGAAGGUUGGUACUUGUUCCAACUGGAUGAGCAGCGAACGGGUGAGUAACGCGUGGGGAAUCUGCCUUUGAGCGGGGGACAACAUUUGGAAACGAAUGCUAAUACCGCAUAAAAACUUUAAACACAAGUUUUAAGUUUGAAAGAUGCAAUUGCAUCACUCAAAGAUGAUCCCGCGUUGGAUUAGCUAGUUGGUGAGGUAAAGGCUCACCAAGGCGAUGAUACAUAGCCGACCUGAGAGGGUGAACGGCCACAUUGGGACUGAGACACGGCCCAAACUCCUACGGGGGGCAGCAGUAGGGAAUCUUCGGCAAUGGACGAAAGUCUGACCGAGGAAAGCCGCGUGAGUGAAGGAGGGUGUCGGAUCGUAAAACUCUGUUGGUAGGGAAGAACGUUAGGGAGAGUGGAAAGCUCAUCAAGUGACGGUAACUACCCAGAAAGGGACGGCUAACUACGUG